UACGGAGGGGGCAAGCGUUGUCCGGAAUUAUUGGGCGUAAAGAGCUCGUAGGCGGUUUGUCGCGUCGGCUGUGAAAACUCAGGGCUCAACCCUGAGCCUGCAGUCGAUACGGGCAGACUAGAGUAUGGCAGGGGAGACUGGAAUUCCUGGUGUAGCGGUGAAAUGCGCAGAUAUCAGGAGGAACACCGGUGGCGAAGGCGGGUCUCUGGGCCAUAACUGACGCUGAGGAGCGCAAGCGUGGGGAGCGAACAGG
rnacentral:rRNA from 1 species